rnacentral:tRNA from 1 species
CGUAGCUCAGUUGGUUAGAGCGUCGGAUUGUGGUUCCGAAGGUCGCGGGUUCGAGCCCCGUCUUU